ACGCUCGACACCUACGGGAGGCAGCAGUGGGGAAUAUUGCACAAUGGGGGAAACCCUGAUGCAGCGACGCCGCGUGAAGGAAGAAGUAUCUCGGUAUGUAAACUUCUAUCAGCAGGGAAGAAAGUGACGGUACCUGACUAAGAAGCCCCGGCUAACUACGUGGCAGCAGCCGCGGUAAUCUGAGCGGGCUGGCAAGGC
rnacentral:rRNA from 1 species